rnacentral:rRNA from 1 species
CCUACGGGAGGCAGCAGNAGGGAAUUUUCCCCAAUNGACGAAAANUUUGACGGAGCAACNCCGCGUGAGCGAUGAAGGCCUUCGGGUCGUAAAAGCUCUGUUGUCAGGGAAGAACAAGUAUCGGAGUAACUGCCGGUGCCUUGACGGUACCUGACCAGAAAGCCACGGCUAACUACGUGCCAGCAGCCGCGGUAAUACGUAGGUGGCAAGCGUUGUCCGGAAUUAUUGGGCGUAAAGCGCGCGCAGGCGGUUCCUUAAGUCUGAUGUGAAAGCCCCCGGCUCAACCGGGGAGGGUCAUUGGAAACUGGGGAACUUGAGUGCAGAAGAGGAGAGCGGAAUUCCACGUGUAGCGGUGAAAUGCGUAGAGAUGUGGAGGAACACCAGUGGCGAAGGCGGCUCUCUGGUCUGUAACUGACGCUGAGGCGCGAAAGCGUGGGGAGCGAACAGGAUUAGAUACCCUGGUAGUCCACGCCGUAAACGAUGAGUGCUAAGUGUUAGAGGGUUUCCGCCCUUUAGUGCUGCAGCAAACGCAUUAAGCACUCCGCCUGGGGAGUGCGGCCGCAAGGCUGAAACUCAAAUGAAUUGACGGGG